rnacentral:lncRNA from 1 species
CUCCGCGGGGACGCCCUGCUGCGGCCCCGAGCCCUCUGGGGAGCCUCCUGCGUGGGACACGUUCUGUGCGUGGUGCUGCUGGUGCUGCCCGUGCGCUCCCUGGUCAGGCUCUACCUCCACCUGCUCACCGCACUGCUGCUCUGCGCGGGGCACCAGAGGGCCAGUGAUUUCGUCCGCCAUGAGCUGCAGCGUGGGUUCCAGGGUGCCGUGUACAGCGACGUGGCAGAGUUUGGCCGCUUCGCCACCGCCCUCGCAGGUGAGCUGGUAAGGGGGGGGGGGGGGGGGCUCCCAUUGAGCAUCCCAGCCCCCCCCUCAUCCAUGUCCCUGGCGUGGGGAAGGCAGCACCAGAAGAGUGGGAAGCGGCUGCAGGGCUGGGGAUGAGGCAGGGAACUCCUGCAGGUUCUCUGGGCCUGAGCGUUCUCCCCAUAGCGAGAAGUGGAAAGCAGACAUCGGGGGGAUUGAGCCUUCCU